rnacentral:rRNA from 1 species
UACGUAUGGUGCAAGCGUUAUCCGGAUUUACUGGGCGUAAAGGGAGCGCAGGCGGUGCGCCAAGUCUGAUGUGAAACCCCGGGGCUCAACCCCGGGCAUGCAUUGGAAACUGGUAGACUUGAGUGCAGGAGAGGAGAGUGGAAUUCCAUGUGUAGCGGUGAGAUGCGUAGAUAUAUGGAGGAACACCGGUGGCGAAAGCGGCUCUCUAGCCUGUAACUGACACUGAGGCUCGAAAGCGUGGGGAGCAAACAGG